AAGUGAACCCAACAACCGGAAAUGAAUUACGUAUUACCGGUCGACUCGUCGCCCUUUGGCUGUUGACGGGAAGAUGAAGGGAGUAGUAGGUGGGGUUGCAAGAUUAGACCGAGGGCCAUCUCCGUCAGUAGCAACCAACAAUGCGAUGAAAUAAUGGGAUGGUCUCUAACUUUUCGCUUAUUAUUCUUGAGAGUUAAGUUGAGACUUGAGAGGCUUCUACCCUCUUUUAAUGGACGGGAUCAUUUUGGUUUGGCUUAAUGUUUAUCGUAUCGCAAAACAAAUAUUUGUCUAUGUUUCAAGUUGCUCCUAUUGCUCGAUGCGCUGAAUGAAACUGCGACUUUGCUCGUUCUCAGCUGAUUGUCAUAGCAACGAGUAAUGAUGUGUUUUUCGAUGUCCGAGGAUGUGACGAGUAUCUAAUAUAUACUCGUAUGAAGCUGGGCCAGAGACGUGCAGAUGAUGGGGGUGAUGGAGUACUUGGUUACACAUGUUCGGUGCACUGAUCAUUUCUCAUUUUCGUGGUCUUCUCCUCGAUUCAGGACGCUUGACAGGAUCUAAUCAAAUUGCUUUGAUGGAUUCAAUUAUAUAGCUCUUCCCCCACGUUGACCGAUCUGUCGGCCGCUUUCUUCCUCUUAUCCACCAACCUGUUUCUUUAAAAGAAAUAUUUCGUUUUUAUUAAAAAGAUUACUAUCCUACGGAUAUUAUCAUUAUUAUCGUUUCCUUCCAUCUACUUUCGAUCGUUGCUGGAUUCUGCUAAGCCAUUUCCUGUUAAGCUAUUUCGAUUCUUGGUUGUAUCAAAUGGGAUGUUUGAACAUGACGUUAGAAAUUAAGUGGACAAGUAAUUAAAUAGAUGUUUAACGGGUAAUGAUUACCUCAAUGGCUUUCGGCUAGGAGCUAGUAUCGAUUUCUCUUUUAAGAGAUUACAAAACUUGCCAUCCUUAUAAAUUGUAUUGGAAUAUUCAUAAUGAUGUAUUAAUAAAUGUCCAGCACAGGAUGAAGUAACAUCACAUGCAGAAUUGAUUGAAGGGGGAAUACAUGGUAAACUGUACUGUAGAUAUUAAAAAAAAAACAGAGAUGCAAUAUAUAUGGAAAAAUAGUAGGUCGAAAUUCGUAGGACCAAAAAUAGGCGAAUAUAUAUGCAGGCGAGUUGCGUGCAGGACGACUAGUUCACAUCGAACGUGUGACGAGAUUACUUGAAUUUGGAGAG